CACCCACCAAAAUUAAAUGAAUGAUGAAUGAAUCAAUGGAAAAAAUAAUAUCAAUGGAGGGAAUGGAACAAUUUCGAAAUUGUGCUUGUUUUUGUUGUUCUUGUUCUUCUUUGUUUU
rnacentral:ribozyme from 1 species